rnacentral:rRNA from 2 species
UGGCGGCGUGCCUAAUACAUGCAAGUCGAACGAGUUCUCGUUGAUGAUCGGUGCUUGCACCGAGAUUCAACAUGGAACGAGUGGCGGACGGGUGAGUAACACGUGGGUAACCUGCCCUUAAGUGGGGGAUAACAUUUGGAAACAGAUGCUAAUACCGCAUAGAUCCAAGAACCGCAUGGUUCUUGGCUGAAAGAUGGCGUAAGCUAUCGCUUUUGGAUGGACCCGCGGCGUAUUAGCUAGUUGGUGAGGUAAUGGCUCACCAAGGCGAUGAUACGUAGCCGAACUGAGAGGUUGAUCGGCCACAUUGGGACUGAGACACGGCCCAAACUCCUACGGGAGGCAGCAGUAGGGAAUCUUCCACAAUGGACGCAAGUCUGAUGGAGCAACGCCGCGUGAGUGAAGAAGGCUUUCGGGUCGUAAAACUCUGUUGUUGGAGAAGAAUGGUCGGCAGAGUAACUGUUGUCGGCGUGACGGUAUCCAACCAGAAAGCCACGGCUAACUACGUGCCAGCAGCCGCGGUAAUACGUAGGUGGCAAGCGUUAUCCGGAUUUAUUGGGCGUAAAGCGAGCGCAGGCGGUUUUUUAAGUCUGAUGUGAAAGCCCUCGGCUUAACCGAGGAAGCGCAUCGGAAACUGGGAAACUUGAGUGCAGAAGAGGACAGUGGAACUCCAUGUGUAGCGGUGAAAUGCGUAGAUAUAUGGAAGAACACCAGUGGCGAAGGCGGCUGUCUGGUCUGUAACUGACGCUGAGGCUCGAAAGCAUGGGUAGCGAACAGGAUUAGAUACCCUGGUAGUCCAUGCCGUAAACGAUGAAUGCUAGGUGUUGGAGGGUUUCCGCCCUUCAGUGCCGCAGCUAACGCAUUAAGCAUUCCGCCUGGGGAGUACGACCGCAAGGUUGAAACUCAAAGGAAUUGACGGGGGCCCGCACAAGCGGUGGAGCAUGUGGUUUAAUUCGAAGCAACGCGAAGAACCUUACCAGGUCUUGACAUCUUUUGAUCACCUGAGAGAUCAGGUUUCCCCUUCGGGGGCAAAAUGACAGGUGGUGCAUGGUUGUCGUCAGCUCGUGUCGUGAGAUGUUGGGUUAAGUCCCGCAACGAGCGCAACCCUUAUGACUAGUUGCCAGCAUUUAGUUGGGCACUCUAGUAAGACUGCCGGUGACAAACCGGAGGAAGGUGGGGAUGACGUCAAAUCAUCAUGCCCCUUAUGACCUGGGCUACACACGUGCUACAAUGGAUGGUACAACGAGUUGCGAGACCGCGAGGUCAAGCUAAUCUCUUAAAGCCAUUCUCAGUUCGGACUGUAGGCUGCAACUCGCCUACACGAAGUCGGAAUCGCUAGUAAUCGCGGAUCAGCACGCCGCGGUGAAUACGUUCCCGGGCCUUGUACACACCGCCCGUCACACCAUGAGAGUUUGUAACACCCGAAGCCGGUGGCGUAACCCUUUUAGGGAGCGAGCCGUCUAAGGUGGGACAAAUGAUUAGGGUGAAG